AUGAACUCUGCUCUGCAGUGCCUGCUGGGGCUGCCAGCAUUUUGCAGAGACAUUCUGAGACAGCAGAAUAUCUGGAGUUCCUCCCCCUCCUCUAAACUGCUAUGCUGCUUUGCUGAGUUACAUCAGGCCAGGCUUUCUGGAGGCACUGUUAAUGCUAAGAACAAGGAAAAUAAGAAAAUCCUUCAAACAGUCAAGCGCUGUCUUUCCGUUGUCAAUGAGGACUAUGAGGAAGACUAUGAACAGGUAAGAUAUUAUUUGCUAAAAGACUCACUUAACAAUAAACCUGGGACACGUGACAGUGUUUUUCCUCAGCUCUGUUUCAGUUGUAGUUGUUGAUGUAUUUUCUGCUUCUUUCCCAUUCUUCUCUUAGGAUGCCCAUGAAUGUGUGUUGCUCCUCCUCUUUCAGCUGAAGGAGGAGGGUAUGGCAUUAAAGGGCUCACCAGAGCCAUACACCUGCCCCGUGAAGCAGUUAGAAUUCAAGCUGAAGACUUCCCGUACCUGCACCAGGUAACAGCUGUCAUUUGUAUACGGUGUACCUUGAUGUCGUCAUCACAUUUGUGAAGAGGUUUAAUGUCAGCAUAACAUGCAGGAUACAGAGGUAAAGCAUUAAGAUAGUGUGUAGAGGGAUCAAAAGGUUUGUGUUGAAUAGUUGAUGCAUUUCUCUCCGUACUUCUGAAGCUGUGGAGUUAUAGUGUAUGGUCAGGAGGAUUACAAUCACUUGUCCCUGAGCCUGAGCCAUUACCUGCCACACAGCCUGGACCUCUACUUUAAGGUCAGCGCUUAGCUUAAACCAAUAGUUAGUAUGUCAAGGAACACUAUCAUUAAUGUCAUAAUGUUCAUAAUUGUAUUGCUAUCCUUUGUCACCUAGCCAUCUGCGUUAGAGUGUGCAUGCAGGGUGUGCUCAGGCAGCAUGGCAUCUGUGACUAGGCACUUCCUCACGCUGCCCCGGUGAGUCCCCCCAUCAUCAUCUCAGAUUACAAUUGACAGUCCUGAUCUAACUCACCAAACUGGGUUAUUGAUUUGAGUACAAGACUGAUUCCUUUGUCUGUGUGAAUGCCUACCUGGUCGUCUGUGUCUGUCUGUGUGAAUGCCUGCCUGGUCGUCCGUCCA
rnacentral:lncRNA from 1 species